UGAAAUUUGAUUUCUAAAUACUUCAAAUGCUCUAGAUUAUAUUUAGUGAUAUGGAUCGUCAAUUCAUAAACUCCAUGAUCGAAAACAAAUUAUAAGUACGAAAAUCUCUAUACUCAUAAGACUAUAAUAGUCCCCUCUCUCUCUCUCUCUCUCCCUCUCCCCAUCUUUUCUGUCUCUCUUUAUAGAGUUCGGCUAUGGUGCUUUUGAUACUUUUAAGUUUAUCACGGUUAGAUCUUAUCCCUUUGACCAAUUUCACUCCUUAAAUUAUAUUAUUCUACUAACCAUCCACUUAACCCUAGGGGACCAUUAUCAUCCUAAGCGCACAACCCUUCAUCUAAGGGCCAAAAACAUACAAGC
rnacentral:lncRNA from 1 species